CACCUCACAAACAGCAGGUGGGUAUCUCCUCUGAACCUUUGGCUCCUACUGACACUGACCUCAUUACUACAUUUUCCAAAGCAGUGCGUGAUGACCUGUAAGAGCACAGUUGGUUUAUGUAACGCAGCAGUGUGAGGAAUUUGAUGCCCUGGAAAGAUUCAUCUAUGUUUUGGAAAACGGCAUCCUGGAGCUACUGGAGAACGUGAAAACGUACCUGCAACACCUGCAGGUCAGCAGCAGUCACUCUUUAUGGCUUUAAUAAAGGUUUCAGGCUGUGACUCAAGGUCAGCCUCUGCAGCAGCAUAUCACUACAGACAUGCAGUCAGGAGUCUGAGUCUCUGUCAGGAGGCCACACAUGUGUUUGUGUGUGGUUGGUCUGCGGGGCUUCCUGUCUGCCGCACGGAGGCCUUUGACUUGGACUGGACGGAGAAAAGGCACCGAUCUGCUACAAGGAGAUCACUACGGUACUCUGAUUAACUCUGAGAGCAGUGCUGUGGUCUUUACAGGUGCAGGAAGUGCUGCAUCCUGUCGGCUCGUGUCCAGUUAAGAGGAAAAGGAUGAGCAGCGCUCGCAGAAACAGCACUAGCUAAACUCUCUCUGUAUCACCUGUGUGUGGCAGGAGAUUUAAAGAUUACAUCACAGACUUCUGUCUUUGCAAACAGCUUCUGAUUAGCAGAUGGUCUGCAUCCUCCAUCCCGCCUCCAGUCUCCUCUUCACAUGCUCAGAACAUUAUCAUAGGUCAGAAACAGGCUGCCACGUCUCUGAGCGCGUGUAGAGGUGGACAUGCAUAUUUUGCCCCCCGUGAAAGGAUGAUGCACUGGACGACGGUCUGCUGAUGUUGGUCUGUUCUUUAUUCCUUCUUCCAGAAGAAGAGGAUGAGGUGAUCCACCAGCUUCCCUGCGCUCUCUGGGACCUCUGGAUGGGCCCGAGGAAUCUGAUCAGAAAGAGACUUGACAAGCUUCUCGACUACAAAGUGAUCGAUGGGAAACCCAACCUGAGCUACAAGGAGCAGGCUGUGGCCAAUGCGUACAGGUGGGAGCUGGUUUCUGAUGGUUGGAGGUGUGACUGGUGUGACCUCCUUUACUCCCCCUCUCCUCCUGACAGGAUGUUGAACACGCUGCUCCUGAAAGAGCUCCCUCAGUUUAAUGGGCUGGCUCUGCAGAUCAGGAGCAUGUUCGGGUCGUUCAGCUGUCUGCACAGAGAUCUCGCCGUAGACAUGGAGCAGCUGUUUCACAGCUUCGCUCAGCAGCUUCCUCACAGCAGCCUCUCUCCUGGUGCAUUCUGGGAGUGGGCAGAGUCUUCAGUGCUGGAAGGAGCAAGAAGGCUGAGAGAAUUUAUGUGAUUUACAGAAUCACCUUAGGGCGCUUUGUACUGUAAGCUACAGACCACUAUGGGCAAGUACUUGGCGACAGUGGAAAGGAAAAACUCCCUUUGAACAGGAAGAAACCUCGAGGCUCAGGGAGGGGCAGCCAACUCCUGCGACAUGUUGGAGGUGAUGAUCUUCCAGGCGACAGCCAUGGAAACAGAAGGAGGUGGCUGGUCGAAGCAGGAGGGAAGUGAGGCUAUGAUGCUGCCUCGAAACUCAUUCGCUAUCACGAGCCAACAGAAGACCCGCCCACUUCACCACACCUGACCCUGACAGAAGGUGUGACCGCAGGCAAAAGACACUCCUACAGCCCAGCAGGCCAUGCCCCACUGCCCGUGAGCUGCUUCCAGGUUGUGGGCACCUACAACUUCACAGCCAGAUCCAAACACAAAGUUUCCUUCUGGGCCAGAGAACCCGUUCAUGUCCUGGAGCCUCACAACAAACGAGGGAGCCCCGAGUGGAGCCUGAUGGAGGUCAGAGGAGGUCAGAGAGGCUACAUGCCCUCCAACAACCUGGCAAUCAUGCCCGUGGGAGCGGGGCUGCCCUCGGGCACUGGCUUCUUCAUUUAGGGGAUGGAAACUGCAGCUGGUGCAAAUGAGAGGAUGCAUGGAAGAGCCUCCCGGGAUCGGUUGCUUACAGUCUCAGUGUUAAUCCUUCCACUGUAACCUGUUUACGACUGGAAGUGUAAAGUUUCUUCUUGUGAUGUUUCCUUCCUACUGGUCUGCAGUGAUCUGUGCACAAACAUAAAUGCAUAAUAUUCCAAGAACACUUUUCAAAGAUGGCAUCUGUAACGUCAUGAAGCUCUGAACGUGUAGAUGAUGUUUGAUUAGCGGUUUUAAGAUGAAGGACGAUUUUCAUGGCUGCUGUAUGAUGAAGCGCUCAUUUCCCAUGAUCCUCAGAGGCAUGCUGCAUGUUCUCAUUACAGGGUCUGAGUGCUAUCAAGUUAACUGUAACGUGUGUGUGUGUGUGUGUGUGUGUGUGUGUGUGUGUGUGUGUCCUCACCUGGAGCAGAGCUGACAGGUACAUGGCGCUCUCAUCAUCUCAGACUGUGUAAUGUGAUGUAAAUGUGAAAGGUCUCCGGGGCCGAGGAAGAACAAGACUCAGCAGGAGGAGGAGGAGGAACAGGGAGAGGGGUGAAGGAGAACACCAGUUUCCCGCUCUGCCUAUGAGCUGAUUUAAAUUUCGUUGCACUUUGAUUCCCGAAUUUUAUGUAGGAAGAGUGAAAUGGGUCAGUCAGAACAGAAUAAGGUCCUCUUGCAGUCACAUUCACCCGACGAUGCUUGUUGCUAUGGAUACAGCUCAGGCAGUGCAGGUCAUGUCUGUGGAGUUUGCUCGGCUGCAGCAGCAUUUCUUGAUUCCAGCACUUUAAACAUUUUUGGCUCAGAAUCAUUUGAAAGCAUCUCUGAGCGCGUGCUGAUUGGCUCUCAGGACAUAAAAUGAACCUGAGCUCCAGUAGUUUUGCAGAUGACAGCAGUUUUAACCUUUGAGCACCACAUACUCUGUCCUGGCCUCCUUCUGUGAAGUUGAGCAGCCUCAGCUGCUGUGAGCAUGGAGCAGAGGGAGGGAGGCCGGGAGUCUGAGCUGCUCAGCUGUUCCCAUCAGGCUGAAUGUCAGGAGGAGGAGGAGGAGGAGGA